rnacentral:rRNA from 1 species
UUGAAAGGGAAACGAUUGAAGUCAGUCGUACCAGCGGGAAAUCAACCUUUCGAGUGUGGUUUUGGAGUUUUGAAGAGUGUCAAAACCUUUUGAGAUUUCAAAAUAUUCGCUCUUUUGGUGUACUUUCUCGUGGGUAGGUUAACAUCGAUUUUGAUCAUCAUAAAAAGAUUGGAGGAAUGUAGCUUCGAUCUUGUAUUGAAGUGUUAUAGCCUUUGGUAAAUGUGAUGAUUAGGAUCGAGGAUUGCAACGAAUACCCUUUUGGGCUAUCCGCCUGAUCUCUGAUACGUGGCCUUGGUAUCGAAAGCGUGCUUAUGGUAUUGAGGUAUUACGGUCAAAAGGUUAGAACGGAUUACAUUCGUUAAGGAUGUUGACGUA